rnacentral:rRNA from 1 species
GACGAACGCUGGCGGCGUGCUUAACACAUGCAAGUCGAGCGGUAAGGCCCUUUCGGGGGUACACGAGCGGCGAACGGGUGAGUAACACGUGGGUGACCUGCCCUCAGCUCUGGGAUAAGCCUGGGAAACCGGGUCUAAUACUGGAUAUGACUCCAUGACGCAUGUUGUGGGGUGGAAAGCCUUGUGCGGCUGAGGAUGGGCCCGCGGCCUAUCAGCUUGUUGGUGGGGUGANGGCCUACCAAGGCGACGACGGGUAGCCGGCCUGAGAGGGCGACCGGCCACACUGGGACUGAGACACGGCCCAGACUCCUACGGGAGGCAGCAGUGGGGAAUAUUGGACAAUGGGCGAAAGCCUGAUCCAGCAAUGCCGCGUGUGUGAAGAAGGCCUGG